ensembl:lncRNA
AGUGUGAGGCUGCCGUAGUCUCGCGAUACCUGGCUGCCCCGGAUUUCUACCAUCACCCUCCCACCACCUGCAGAGCAGUGGCCGUGAUGGAAGGCGCAUUGGGAGGGCUGUGAGGAGGCCGCUGCUCCUGACUAGCUAGCCCUCAGAGGGGCUUUGGAGGGAAAGUUCCCGGCAGCUGACGAAACCGUUUGUUUCGGGGAUUCUCCCUGUUUCUCCCCAGCUUGGCACUGACUGCCAGCUGAUGUGUACUCCUCUAUGGAAUGGAAACGUGCAUCUGGAUGAGCUGAGGAGCUCCAAGACUGAGAGAGAAGAUCGAAACUAAGAGAUGAUGCCUUGAUGACUGAGAAUUCAUGGAAAGGUGGCAUUUAUCUUGUGGGUCAUGGACACUAAAGUAAAAGUCAAGGCUCUCCCAGUGACUAAAAGGCACCUUAGGAACACAUAGGGAUGCAUCUUUCAGGGACAACAGCUUCCAUCUUGUUCGAUUAAUACCUGGAAGAUUCUCAAAAUAGUUGAAAAUCUCUAGGUCUUUCCAGUAGUCAUGUACAGAUAUGAGAGUUGGACCAUAAAGAAGAUUGAAUGCCAAAGAACUGAUGCUUUUGAAUUGUGGUGCUGGAGAAGACUCUUGAAAGUCCCUUGGACUGCAAGGAUAUCAAAUCAGUCCAUCUUAAAGAAAGCAAUCCUGAAUACUGAAGCUGAAGCUCCAAUGCUUUGACCACCUGCUUCGAAGAGCUGACUCACUGGAAAAGACCCUGAUGCUGGGAUAGAUUGAGGACAAGAGAAGAAGGGGGUGGCAGAGGAAGAGGUGGUUAAAUAGUGUCACUGACUCAAUGGAUGUGAAUUUGAGUAACUUCCAGAGAUAGUGCAGGACAGAUGAGCCUGGUGUGCUGCAGUCCGUGGAGUCACAAAGAAUUGGACUCAACUAAAUGACAACUAGCCCUUUUCCCUUCCCUGGAUUUUGGCGGGGCGGGACUAAAAGUUUCAUCCCUCUACUUAUGAUGGUUCCCCUGACAACCAGCCUCAUCCUCAGGUACUUUCCAAACGUCACCACAUUAACAUGAAUCUAGUUGUGGUGAAAAGGACUGGUUAUGAGACACUCCUUUCACCUUAUAUCACUAAAGUGUUUUCAAGAGCUAGAGACCAAAUAUUAUAAACAAAGAUGCUUUAUUGCUCUGUCACUUAAGAAAUUCCAAGGGUCUGGGGAGCUGUGAGCCAGGAACUAGGGAUGAAGAUCAAAUAUAAUGAGAAAUAUAUUUUGGUCAGCUAAAUGACCAAGUGCAUAUACAUGUUCCUUAUAAAUCACAAUGUCAUAGACACUAUAUCUGGAGCUACCCUUUUGUUCUGUUUGAUUGAAAUUACUGGCAUUAUUUGAAAGACACCUUUGUGUUAGGCAUGCUGGUAUGGUGAAAAGGUAUGGUCCUGCUACCAGGAUGUAAGUAGGCCACUAGAAUCUGGCAUCUCCUUCCUAAAGAGGCAAAAUAAAUGAAAUAAAUAUACUGAAGAGCUCAUUAUUCCAAAUGUCAUCACUGAAAUUAUGGGAUAGGAAGGGAAAUGAAAAAGAAUAUGAAAUCAUCAAUUUAAUAAAUAAGCAAAAGAUUGGAUUUAGCAGGUGGUGUGAUUGUCUCCCAGCCCUAACUUUAUAUUUUUCACAAGUGAAUAUCAUAUUUUAAAUAUUAGUUUUCUUAUUUUAAUGUUCUUCUAUUGUACUCCUGCUUACUUGCCGGUCAACUUCAGUGAGUGUAUUUUCCUGCUGCUUGUAAAAAUGCAUUUUCAUUUAAGAAAGUUGAAGACACUUAAGUAAGGAAAAACAAUUAUCUGUACAGUCACUUCUGGGAAAAAAGCAACAGUGUUUAUUUCAGGCUAUUUUCUAUGUUUAAGUGUAGAUCUAUGUUUCUGGGUUUUUUUUUUAAUGUUAAUAACAAUUGUUUUAUAAAUUAUGGCUAUAUAGCUUUGCUCAGGUAGAGACUCGGAUUGAAAGGGAAAGCAGAGAGAACUAAUGUACAUCCAUCACAUUUAUGGGGAAGAUUCAGUGUUGCAAACUGUCAUUUUAUUUUCAGUGGCUUCCCUUCUUCCCCCACCCCUUUGU